rnacentral:lncRNA from 7 species
ACCGUAGCACAGCGUUCUCCUAACCGCUCUGCUUUUGCAACUUCUUCAAAACUCCCGAGAAGCGGCCCCGCACGGCUGCAGCUCGUUACCCAGGAGCCGUGAGCCACCAGCACCACCUCGUGGCUACCUGCCUUACUUGCUGUGUCUAUUUCUUGCAGGGACAGCGCUCGCUGCCUGCCUGCAUUCCAGUUUACAACAGUAUCAUCAAUGACAACAAACAAAUAACUUCAUUCUAUGACUGGGAGGCUGCAAAUUACUUGACCUGUAGAAAUCUAGGCAUCAAGCAGUCAUAAUGUUAUCUAAAACCUCUGGAAAAGGUGGAUUGGACUCUUCUUGCAGCGUGUCUGCACAGCACCCCUGGCACUGAGGAGGAGGGUUGAUGUUUCAUGACUUCGGUUUUGGACUUUGGACAAGAGAUUUGCUUCUGUAAUCAGAAAGUUAAAAAUAUACCUUCUGCUGCUGUAAAAUCUGCUGCUUUAUUUAUUUAUUUAUUUAUUUAUUUUGCCAAACUACCUGAAAACAUAUCCCCUCCAGUUUUCCAUUACUUGGUUUUGUUGUGGUGUAGUCAUAGUUACUACAAAUGCUGCUAGACUUUGAUAUAUGUUGACAAUACCUGCAGUACUACAGAAAUGACCUGUACUUAAAUAGAUUUCUUUUGUGCUUUUUUUUUCCCUUGCAUCUCAGUCCAUAAACCAGGGGUUGCUGAAUAGUUAACAAAAAAAGAUUGUUUGAGAAAUCAACUAAGGAAGGUUUUGCAUACUUAUUUCAUGGUCUCCAGCUGGUAGAUGCAAUGUUAUGUUUGGAUCAUUUAAAAUCUGCUUUUAAGCGAAAGUGCUUAAGUAUGAUUCAGAAGAUACCAAGUGCAAGCUGUGUAGUAAACAGGUAGAGGCACUUCCAAAGGAAAUUGGCCUGAAAACAGAUAAGAGUUUGUCACUCAGCUUGCUCUCUGUGUAGGCUUUUGUGAUCUGUCUGUUGUCUUGAGUGGAAGCUAUGUAGCUAUGGCUAACACAAAGCUGAAAACAGAUCAACUUUGCUGAGGGUUUGUGCUUGUUAGCUAUGCUUGGUGUUGUAUUAGCUGCAGUUAUGCAGCUUUUGCUUGAGUCAAAACAUAAGCUGAGCUCAGCGGAAGACGAGAUACGAACUGAAAUAUUUACUUAAUUGAGAGUUAAAUUUCAAAAUGCAUUUGAGUAUCUGGGACAAGUUAAAACAGAUUUGCGAAGAUACAUAGUUGUCCAGAGAGAGUUAGGCUUUUAACUAGCUCUGUAAACAUAGAAUUUCUAGUAUGGAAAAUUAAAUGCUUAGCAGCUUUCAAGAAAAGUUUACAACCACGGUGUUUGAAAACUCAGCUUCAGCAUGGUGUGAUUGUCUCAUAUGCGAGCUGACACAUUAAGGAACCGAAUUACUUCUGCUAUGAUAGGUUACAUACGUGUAAAUUGUGGCAUCCAACUUUUUUCUUUCUGUGGUAUUAAAGACUUGGUGACUUAAUGAAUGAAAUAUAACAGCAAAUACUAAACACUCAGAAUUAUGAGCCUUUGCUUUAUAUAAAUAUGUGGAUAAUAUUUGAAAAGCUAAUUUUUUAAUCCACUGAAUAUGGUGUUAGUAGUAUUAAUCAAGAUAAUUGUCUUUAUUGAAAUAAAAUUAAUGGU